rnacentral:lncRNA from 10 species
CAAAGUGUCACCCCAGCCUGCUCCAGUGACUGAUGUCAGACUAGGGCAAUGUGGGCAGACACAGAGGGAAGACGGCUGCGCGAAGACAGAGGCCGAGAUGGGAGUGAGGCGGGCGCAAGCCAGGAAACACCAAGGAUUGCAGGCAACAAAAGACUCUCAACCACAGACAGCUCCAGUCCAAGCUGAAGUCCAGGACCACGCUGGAAGGCUGCACACCCUUGGAAGGCACCCAAGGAAGAGAGGCAGGCAUCUGCUGAAGCCUGAAGCCCAAAACUGAUCACAGCCACCUGUGGGAAUGCGACCAACUGUGGCCUGUGCCAAACAGUGUGUGACUCAUUCUGCCAAAGAGCGAGGAGGCGGGGAUGUGGGGCGAGGGGAUACCUCCUUUUCACUGCCUUUGGCCACAUUUCCCUCAAAUGCCAGCAGGUGGAGAUAUUGAUCUCUUCCUGUAUUUGAAUAAGGGCCCUGCAGCUCAGCACGCCUAUGACUGGGAGCCCCCGAGGAUACCAGCACCCAGGCACUGUGGUAAGUACUUCAGGUGCACGAUCUCAUUUAGCAUUUGGGACAGCCUUGGGAAGUAGCUAUUACUGCUCUCCCUAUUUUAUCCACGGGGAAACUGAUGCAUGGAGAGAUGAAGAGACUUGCUCAAGGUCACACAGUCAGUCUGAUGCAAAGCCAGGGUUUUGUCCUGUGCCAGAAGCUGUGCUCCUACUCCCUGCUCCCCAGACGCUCUGCCAGGCAGCAUGCUGGGCAGAGCCUAGGACCGGGACCCAGGAGGCCAUGCCCUGGUCAGGUGAGGCAAGCUUGACCAGUGCUUCGGGUAAAGCAGCCAGGCCUGGGGGCCGAGAAGGGGUGCAUGUGUAGAACCAGUUUCUCCAA